rnacentral:rRNA from 1 species
CCUACGGGUGGCAGCAGUGAGGAAUAUUGGUCAAUGGACGAGAGUCUGAACCAGCCAUGUAGCGUGAAGGAUGACUGCCCUAUGGGUUGUAAACUUCUUUUAUAUGGGAAUAAAACGUUCCACGUGUGGGAUUUUGUAUGUACCAUAUGAAUAAGGAUCGGCUAACUCCGUGCCAGCAGCCGCGGUAAUACGGAGGAUCCGAGCGUUAUCCGGAUUUAUUGGGUUUAAAGGGUGCGUAGGUGGAUUGUUAAGUCAGUUGUGAAAGUUUGCGGCUCAACCGUAAAAUUGCAGUUGAAACUGGCAGUCUUGAGUACAGUAGAGGUAGGCGGAAUGCGUGGUGUAGCGGUGAAAUGCUUAGAGAUCACGCAGAACUCCGAUUGCGAAGGCAGUUCACUGGACUACAACUGACACUGAGGCUCGAAAGUGUGGGGAUCAAACAGGAUUAGAUACCCCAGUAGUC